CAGCCGCCACGGUAAUACGAAGGGGGCUAGCGUUGUUCGGAUUUACUGGGCGUAAAGCGCACGUAGGCGGAUCGAUCAGUCAGGGGUGAAAUCCCAGAGCUCAACUCUGGAACUGCCUUUGAUACUGUCGAUCUGGAGUAUGGAAGAGGUGAGUGGAAUUCCGAGUGUAGAGGUGAAAUUCGUAGAUAUUCGGAGGAACACCAGUGGCGAAGGCGGCUCACUGGUCCAUUACUGACGCUGAGGUGCGAAAGCGUGGGGAGCAAACGGGAUUAGAUACCCGCGUAGUCCCUGUCUCUUAUAC
rnacentral:rRNA from 1 species